rnacentral:piRNA from 1 species
UCAGGCCUCGGUAGUACAUCCCAGCU